CUAUAGAAUUAAUAAAUAAAGAUUAAAAAUUAAUAUAAAAUAAAUUGUACGUAGAUUUAAAAAUAAAUCAUGCAACAGCAAUGAAGAUGAAAAGGAAGAUAAACUAGACUAUGAAAAAAGAUAGAUUCAAAUGGAAUCCAAUAGGGACUAUUAGAUGUCAACGAACAUCCAGAAACGACUUGAAAGAAACCGCGAGAAACUAGUCGGAGAGGAAUCGGAGGCGACGGAGACUGGAAGGACAGAGAAAGAUGAAAUGAUAUAGAAAAGGGAAGGAAGGGGAUGGUCAUCUAUGUCAUUCGCGGAGAAAAGGCAGAGCUUACAGCGUGCUACCACCUAUCAAGCAGUAAAUGGUAUAGCAAUGGCCGGGUUGUUUUUCACGCGGGUGGAUUUUACAACGCGAGAUAUUACUCUGCCCUUCCUCCCUCUCGCCGCAUUUCUCCUCUUCCUUUCCUCACCACCACGCUACCGCCAAACAUCCCGCCGACCUUACCAGGCAGGGUGUGGCCUCCAUUCUGCAGCUUUUAUACAUUGCCUUUCACGUGUGCAUCAGCGAUACAGACGUACUUCACUCUCAUCGCCUGUUCAACUCUCAUUUUUAAUUGCCGUUUUCGAGUCUCCGAUAGGCAAGAAAUAAAUAUUACAUGAUAAUAAUAAGUAUAUCACUAUAAAUAAAGGAACUAGAAAAAUACUGUGCAUGGUAUUACCAUGCAAGAUGCGUUUGUUUUUCAACUUUUUUGGAGUCACGAAGAGACAAUGCUAAUUCUGGCUGGAAGAUGGGUAGAUAGGCCACCAUUUCGAUUAAAGCCGAUCCGCGUUGAAAGUGAGCCGACAUAAGCCGCAAAUAAUAAUUACGAUCGCGUGCAAGCCGGUUAUUACGGAGAGCGCCGGAAACUGCUUCGGUUACUAAUGAUUAUGUUCGUUUUUCAAGUACCAUCCCCUAAUGGCGCCACUUAAUCAGAGCCACUUCGCCAGACUCGCUUCGCCGAACAAUCGAUCGAGCUUGCGAUGUCAGAAAAGCAUGAACGACACAAAAAAGUUACAAUAGCAAUUGCUUUCACUUGGGCUUAGUCCUUUUCGCGACUGCGAGAUGUUAAAGGAAUCGCAUUUGUGCAAUUUUGUACUUUAUUGUCCGUACGUAACACGCUCAGACAAGCAGAAAAAGUUUAUUCCACAAAAUUGAGGGAAAGAUGCAUGAAACUAAAUUUAAUUGCAUUCGUUUUUUCAAGAAUGCAUUGAAUUGAUAUUGAAGGGAGUUUAUGGGCGUGAAACGGACAAAAUGAUAUAUUUUUAUGAACUCUUUUGAAGAAACUGACCGCCUAAAUUUAAUUUUCCCCCAUAUAAAGAAGAUUUUAAAAAAGAUAUUUGAAAAUUACCGCACACAUUGUAUCUUAAAUCAAAUAGAAAAGAAAUUAAAUCUAGCUGGCAGAAUUCGCACCAUUGUUGAUCCCGCCAGGCAACAGAAGCUGUCUGGUUACCUCGGGGGUGAGAAUUAGCGGUCGGUAACGAAAGAAACUUAAUUCUGUUUGAAUUACGAUCGUCAUUUUUUUUCUGUCAUCAGCACGCGGGGACAAGAAGCCGAUAUAAUUCAGCCUCGAAAAUUGAAACUGGAAAUUAACGGCGCGGCGCGCCGAAAGAGCGGCGAGCGGAAAAGUUUUACCAUCGCGGAAAUAAAAAUCGCAUCUGUCCGCACGCUAUUCUGCCCCGCGAUAAUAAAAUUUCUUGAAAAGGGCCGUGUACAGGCACAUUAAAGUGCUCAUCUCUUUUGAGCCGCAACUACAAAAUUUUGCUAGCGGCAUGACAACUCAUAUUUUUUUAAAUACGAUAAGCGAAAUUUGCGGGAACGUAUUAAAAUAGAACAGACUGAAAAAGUCUGUCGGAGUGCUUCGAAAUUGCUGCUCUCUGUACACUUUGGGUACAAAGGGGGUAGCGUGCACGUGCGCGUGUAAGACAUACAUACAGCUUCGCGCAAACAUGGGCGCAUACCCGAGCAAACGCAUACGAGCUGCGAUAACAAAUGAACAGCGAGCAUGCAAAUUUGCGCUGUUAAAAUUCAGAAAAUGUUUACGCCACAACAAAAUGCAAACGGAGCGCUCGCUGGUGCUGCACCUGCGUCUGACCUGCGUCUGAUUUGUUCGCGAAACAUGAUACAUCGUCGAGAGUUACAGAAUAAGCUUAUUUUUGCGUUCGCCGUUCGUUCGCCGUUCGUUCGCUCGACGUACACCCACAUCUUAAGGCCUGUCUCUCUGUCUCUCUCUCCCGAUGUUAACGACCUCGGCGAUUGACUCGCGUGACCUGACCUAGAGUCCGCUUCGCAUACGCUCGCGCCACUUCGGCUGUCUCCGGUGGUCGCGUUGGCACGGUGCUCGCACCGCUCGAUACUUGCUCCUCGGUUACUAGUCAGUAUUCGCUCGACCAGCGAGCUGUUAAGAUAGGGGGAGUUUUGUCUUUCUGGAUAAGGAGCAAAGAAGCCCACGAGAAACUCUCAAUGCUAAUCCUGCGGCAAUUUGAAGAUGCAAUGAGGACUUAAAAAUCUCCGAUUAUGUGAAGCAGCAUGCUUGCGAUGGAUAGUGAUGUUUUAUACUAUCCUGGCGAAGAAUCGAAUCGCGAUCUGCGAUUCGGACCACAAUCACGUGAGAAUGUGACUUUCGGAGCGAGAGUGUGGUCGUAUCCACAGAUACCAUGCGUCGCUUGCAUAGUUUCGCACUAAUGGAAUUCAAUAAUUAGUCGCCGACUAUAAAGUUUCUUGCAAGAAUGGCGUAUGUAUUCCGCUUUAACUUCCAAUGUUUUCAGUUACAAUCCCCUUAACUUGCAACUUAUUUGCUUGCUAAAUUUUCUUGCUAUUUAUUUUUGCUUGCUAUUUUAUCUGUUAAUUAUUCUAUCAUUAACUGUUUUGAUCUAUAAUUAUAAUAAUUCCUAAUAUUAUGUUAGAAUAAUUUGAAUUAGGUAGCAACUAUUUAUACAUAUAUUUAUAACUAUACUAUUAUAUAUGUAACUAUGUACAUGAACCGUUCACCAAGUUUGUUAAAAUAUUUUAUUAUUUAAUUCUCAAUAUUCAUUAGGAUGAAUUAUUCAUUUGGAUUUCAUAUGGAGUAUUCGCGAACAAUUUAACGAAUUUACGACAAGUAUUCGUUAUGAAUUAUUGAUUCACUACAGGAUAUUAGUUAGUAAUUAGUUAUAUAUCGCUCAUAUAGUAAUUAGACCAUUUUAUGAAAAUUUGUUACAAAUUAUAUUUGAUAUUUUAAUCUAUUUAAUAUUUAAUUUCCGAUAUAUGUUAUUUGCCGUUCAUUUUGCAUAAAUUUUGCUUGAAAAUUCAACCUAUCGAUCAUUUUUCAUAUUACUCUUUGCAGUUUCAUGGCGUUUAAGAGUCAUUAUACUGCGAUCUAUGGCAAAAACCCGGCUUAUUGUCAUGAAAGAGUCACUGUAGGGGUGCAUCAGUCGAUGAAAUUUUAAUCCAAUUAGAGCCACCGAUCCUGCCAUCCCCCUUUACUCUCGUCGCGUGCAUUUCGAAGUUAAAAUCAAUAAGCAUUGACUAUGAAAACGAGCGCUUAAGGCAGCUCGGAAAUAAUGGCAUUCAUCGCUUUGAUAAUAGCAACAGAGGAUAGUAGCCAAGGGGCGCACUGAGGUUUACGGAUAUAUAAUACGUAGGUAGAUAAAUUUAUGUCUCCGAUAAAGCUAGCUAUUCUUCUUUAACCAACGAUUUAGCAAUUUUAGAAAAAUAUCAUAUUAAUGUAAGAAAAGAAUAUGAACGAAAAUAUAAUAGAACAAACACAACGUGUAACAAAGUUGCAUAAUAACAUAAGAAUAACGACGUAAUAUCAAUCUACGUAUAUCGAUAAUUAUUCUUGCAAUAAAAGUUGAUUUAUUCAACAGUUGGAUUAAUAAUAUUUCAUAUAUUAGUUAGCAGUUAUUUAAGAACAUAAAUUAUUAGAUUAUGUAAGUCAAAUUUAUGCGACAAUAGUAUUUUACGGAUUUUCUUUUAGACUUACAUCACGAUCAGGAUGACGUCAGCAAAGCGGGACUUGCGACUCUAAUAGCAAGUAUGCGUUGGCAAAUUCAACACGAUGCAUGUCACUACAUUACUUCAGCAAAUCAUAAAUUGCUAAAUUCUUAUUCCACAAGUGAUAAUGUGUCGAAGAUAUCAUAUUGAAAUGUUGACAUAUUGAUAAGAUAGCUUCCGCUGGAGAUAUCGAUUAACACUGCAAUUUAUUUCACGCAUCACUUCACAGUUUUGCAAUUAUAAUAUUAUACGUUUGGUGCAUUAUUAAUUACCUCCUUGCGUUAAUUCAUACAUCAAACAUCUAAAAACGGAUAUAAACGGAAUUUACAUAUUCUAUUGCAUUAAAGUAUUACUUUUAAACGCGAUUGAUUUCAUGUGUCACUUCACAGUUUUGCAAUUAUAAUAUUAUAUUUAAUGCAUUAUUAAUUACCUCUUUGUGUUUUAUACGUAAUCAAACGUUUAAGAACAAUUACAAACGGAAUUUAUGUAUUCUGCUGCAUUAAAAAGUAUUAUUUUUACACAAAGAAAAAAAUAAGUUACAUCCUCUCCGCGAUAAUAUUUUAUAUUCAAUUUUAUAUUUAAAUUAUAUGCGAUUUUUGUUAAUUAAUUUUGUUAAUUAAUCAAGUAAAUGUUGCUGUCUAUCCAAUCCGGCUUUUAAUUUUUGCACUACUUUUCAUUUUAAUCUUUCACUUUGUUACAAUGCACACUUUGUUACAAUACUCCAACCGUUUGUCGUUCACUAUAUUUCACGGUACAUCACUGUGAGAUAAAAAGGUUACGGGAUUUCUAUAGUAAAAAUAUUUAAAUAAUAUCUUAGGACGAGUUCCAGCAGAUGCUUCGCAAACAAAGAUAUGCCGUGCACUGAACAGACGCAUGCGCCGCGUCACGUCGCACGUGGCUGUGGUGGCCGUCAGCUGUUGGGCGUCAACAAGUCCCGCUAGAAAUGGUAGGAGUCUGUUACCAACGGAGAAUCACGACCCACUGUCUGCAAGUCGAUAGAAGAAAGAACCUGGCCAAGAAAAUAGAGGGAAAUUGCGGAAAAACGAGAGCCAGAUGAGGAAGGAGGAGAAGAAAGAACUUCUUGGUCUGAGCCAAAAAGUUAAGGGGAAGAGAGAAGAAAGAGGAGAAUGUGAGAUGAGGAGGAGGAA